rnacentral:rRNA from 1 species
GCUUAGCAUAUAUUAUUGAUGUUGCAGUUAAAACGUUCGUAGUCGACUCCUAUUUACUAAUAUAUGCAAAACUAUGGUUUUGUCAUAUUGUCAGUAAAUGCAAUAUAGGUACAAUAUGUGUUUCAUAUAUUGUGACUUAUAUCUUACUUUGAGUGAAUCGGCGUGUUCCACGCAGGCAUAAGCCGUGAACGAUUUACCAUAGAAUAAAUAUACUAUAACAAUAUUUUUAUGUCUGUUCGGAAAUAUUGUUUAUAAUAAUAAGAACGGUUGAGGGCAUUCAUAUUCAACUGCUAGAGGUGAAAUUCUUUGAUUAGUUGAGGAUGAACAAUGGCGAAAGCAUCUGCCAAGGACGUUUCUGUUG